rnacentral:rRNA from 1 species
CCUACGGGUGGCAGCAGUGGGGAAUAUUGGGCAAUGGGCGCAAGCCUGACGCAGCAACGCCGCGUGAAGGAAGAAGGCUUUCGGGUUGUAAACUUCUUUUCUGAGGGACGAAGAUGGUGACGGUUCCUCAGGAAUCCGCCACGGCUAACUACGUGCCAGCAGCCGCGGUAAUACGUAGGUGGCAAGCGUUAUCCGGAUUUAUUGGGUGUAAAGGGCGAGUAGGCGGGAAAGCAAGUCAGAUGUGAAAACUCAGGGCUCAACCCUGAGCCUGCAUUUGAAACUGUUUUUCUUGAGUGCAGGAGAGGCAAUUGGAAUUCCGUGUGUAGCGGUGAAAUGCGUAGAUAUACGGAGGAACACCAGUGGCGAAGGCGGAUUGCUGGACAGUAACUGACGCUGAGGCGCGAAAGCGUAGGGAGCAAACAGGAUUAGAUACCCCUGUAGUC